rnacentral:lncRNA from 1 species
UUGGGGCCAGAUUAAGUGGGGAGGGGGUUUGGUUUUUUCUCGUCAUUGCUUUACUGUUUGAGUAAUGGCAGGAUUUAAUAUUGUGAUGUAAAUUUGGAAAAAAUUGCUUUAUUCUUUAUGCUCGUUCUUUGCUUCAAUACUGGAGGUUUACAUUCUGUACAGACUGCAAUGACAAGGAAAGAAAUAUAUGAACUUGAAAAGCAGCAGGAUUGCCUUUAGGCAAAAUAACCUGUAUGUUGUUCUGGUUUUUCAGAGAAACAUGAUCCAUCAUCCUUCUAUACCUUUGUAUGGAUGUAUAGGUACGUUAUGGAGCAACAUCAUGCUCCCAAUGUAGGCAAUUGGGUCUUGGUUAGAAACUAUAGAAACAAAUUGAAAAAAAAAUACAGCAGAAAUAAAAAAGAAAAAAAAAAUCCAGAUUUCCUUUUCUGAAGACUCGAAAAGAUUUAGCUGUGCAUGAAUAAGAAGACUCAAUAUUUUUUCAACUUCUUUUAUUAUCUGUGCUGAUGAAUUUGUUGAAGUCUCUUCCUAUGCUUUUGGCUGCCAUCUCAAGUUCAAGCCCGCUGCUUUCUGGCAGAAACUUGAUAGUGAAGGAAAUUACCAAUCAUCUUGAUUGUGAAGGAACUCAUUAUCAUGAUUGUAGAGCAUUGCAGGAUAGACUGGAUCUUGCAAAAACCUCUGUACAGUUGAUCGGGUGAAAAAGCCAGUAUCUGGAGUUCGUAUCCUGCAGGACAAGUUCCCGACAAGCUUCUUGAAUUCUGUAUGGAAUUUAUGCAAUUGGCAGUCAAAAGUAGGAUUUAGGCCACUAGUGAUGAACCACUUCCCAACGAAAUCUACAACAUUAAAGUUCUUGACAAGAAUGGCAGGAUCAGGGACGGAAUUCCAACAUCAGACUUCUAAGGUACACACUUCUUUCAUGAGAUGAACACUCAUUGAAUUCAUCAACUACUCAAAAGCUUGAUCUGCAAAAUAUCUAAAGAGGGUUACCCGUUGAAUAACAUUAUCUAUCUCACCAGGUAUAAGGUAGAACAAGAUUAUUGGACAAUCAAACACUCAAAAGCUUAAGCUGAUAGAGAGGGGUUUGUUUGUUCUAAAAGAGAUGUUACACUGUUUCCUUUAAAAGCUUAUUCUGUUAGUGAUCAUUCUGCUUAUACAUAUUCUUUCUGCAGUAUCUGCGAGCAUCUCAAGAGAAAGAACAGAACUUACCUGGCAUUCAUCUGCAGUAUGGAUGCAAGCAACAUUAGCUGCACAGUAUGGGUUUGCAAUGCACCUUGCCAAUUCUAGCCUGACAAUAACAAGCUGGUAAGUAAAAGGUAAUGAUGAAGGAUCAAAAUGCACUUGCUGGUUAAAUGGAAGGAAAUCCCUUUGCUACCAAAAAUUUCAACAACUAAUUCCCAUCAAUACCACCACCUCCUCAUCAAAUCUCAAUAAUAACAUGUUUUUGGACAUGGCAGUGAUGGUGGAGGCACAAGGGGAGCAGAUGGAUGAUAUUGAGCACCAUGUGUUGAAAGCUAGUCACUAUGUGAAGGAUGGUACCAAAGAGCUCAAGAGUGCUAAAGAUCACCAGAAGAGCAGCAGGAAAUGGAUGUGUAUCGGUAUCAUUCUCCUUUUGAUAAUCAUUCUUGUGAUUGUUAUACCUAUUGUUACUAGCUUUAGCUACUCUUGAAUUGGAGGGCCUUAUGGAGGAUUUAAUGACCUGUUAUUCCUUAUUUUGGGGCCAGAUUAAGUGGGGAGGGGGUUUGGUCUCUUGUCAUUGAGUAAUGGUAGGAUUUAAUGUUGUGAUGUAAAUUUGGAAAAAUUGUUUUAUUCUUUAUGCUCGUUCUUUGCUCCAAUACUGGAAGUUUACAUUCUGUACAGAUAGUUGUUUUAGAACAGGUGUCUGCAAUGACUUUUAGGGAAAGAAAUAUAUGAACUUGAAAAGCAGCAUGAUUGCCUUUAGGCAAGAUAACCUGUAUGCUGUUCUGGUUUUUCAGAGAAACAUGAUCCGUCAUCCUUCUUUACCUUUGUAUGGGUGCGUUUUUGGAGCAACUUCAUGAUCCAAUGUAAGGUACGUUAUGGAGCAACAUCAUGAUUCAAUGUAGGGAAUUCAGGACGCAAUUGGGUCUUGGUUAGAAACUAUAUAAACAAAUUGAAAAAAGAAAUGCAGCAGAAAUAAAAAAAUUUCCUUUUCUCUGCCUGGGAUGGUUGCAAGGAAACUAGACAUUUAUAACUAUGUAAGUUGUCUCUGCAACAGAAAAAAAUUCAGUUGCAUUGAUCUCUCAAGUGAAAAUCAUGGAGUAGUUUUUUUAGCUCAUGGGCUUGGCUAGCUUUUGAGGCAUAAGUAAUAAUAAGGUCACAAGUUGUCAUGAUUAGGAGAGAAUUUCUUUCCUCAACUAAGCUUGCCUUCCUGCACACAACAAUCUUCUUCUUUCAUGUCUUGUCAUCAGAUGGCUUCCCUUCACCAAAUGGCACAUCAGGUUUUCCUUGAUCUCCUCCAUCCUUUUCUGUUUCUUUUCUAGUAUUCAUAUGCUUUGAAUAAUUAAAUAACAAAAAUGGAAGAAGUUUCUAUGUAUGUGCCCUUGGCUCUAACAACGAACUUUAAUUGCAGGUAACUGCGUCUUGGACUUCAAGGAAUUCCCUUACGAACCAACCGGCGAGUGCAUAGGCCACCAGGAGAAAAUCAAGGACUGGACAGCUUCAGCACAACAUUAUGCUGUCGUAAUCUGCUCAACGAUCUGACCAAACUCUUAGCGUCGCGUGCAGUAUCGAACCCAAAUGUUGACAUCUUGAUUCCAAAAGAUCAAUGGAUGGAAUGUAUCCAUGGCUUUCCUGGACAAAACUCUGUAUCACCGGCUUCUUGUGGGUUUUUGAUGACCUCUACAAUGAGAGAAGUGCUUGCUUGAGAUUUUCUUUGUCAUCGAUAACGGAACAGUGGUAUUACAAAAAAGCAUUAGCCUCGUGUACGAAUUUUAGCUCUUCAUACGAUUAUGGGUGUAGCAGCUGCAUAGAGGCAAUAUCCGAUUUCAGGGAUUAUCAGUUACGAAUAUCAAAUGUCAGCGCUAAUGACAAGAAGGCAAAAAUAGCAUGUGGGGUGGCAGUUCUUAUUUCUGUUGUGGCUGAAAAUUUGAAGAAUAGCGCUUGGAUUGAUGAUUUCUACAGGUGUUUGCCAGCUUCAGAUGCAUUCAGUAAGGGCCAUUACUCCUUCUUUUAACUCUUAUUUCUCGAUUUACCUCCCAUUUCACUUCCUGAUGCUUAGAGAAUUGUCUAUGAACAGAUGAAGGAUACACGCAAAUCAAAUGUAAGUACAACUAUUCUGUUUUCUCAUUGAAAGAGUUUAUUCAUUUCUUGGAAUUUUAUAUGGUCGCGUGGAUCAUCUUGUGAAGGAUAAACACUCAUAAAGAUCUUUAGCUUAUCAGAUUCUCUGGUGAAAGUGGUAUUUGGUAUUUUUAUAGCAAUCAUCACAUUGUUGCUGGUCUAUCAGUAUCCUUCUCCUUUUGAUAAUCAUUCUUGUGAUUGUUAUACCUAUUGUUACUAGCUUUAGCUACUCUUGAAUUGAAGGGUCUUAUGGAGGAUUUAAUGACCUGUUAUUUCUUAUGGCUUUCUUGCUUUACUUUUGGAGGAUAUGCUUGAAUCCCUUAUUUUAGGGCCAGAUUAAGUGCGGAGGGGGUUUGGUUUUCUCUCGUCAUUGCUUUUCUCUUUUGAGUAAUGGUGGGAUUUAAUGUUGUGGUGUAAAUUUAGAAAAAUUGCUUUAUUCUUUAUGCUCGUUCUUUGCUCCAAUCCUGGAAUAUACAGACAGUUGUUUUAGAACAGGUGUCUGCAAUGACUUUUAGGGAAAGAAAAAUAUGAACUUGAAAAGCAGCAGGAUUUAGCUGUGCAUUUCUGAAAUAAUAAAAGGCAUGAAUAAGACGACUCAAUAUUUUCUUUUAAGUUGUACUAUAUCUAAACUUCGCUUCCAUUUUCAGAUCACUCAACGUAUCAUAUCCAUUUCUUCUUUACUUGGUUUUCUUAAGAAAACCUCCUCGUCUUUUUGGAGUUUAUAAAUCCUUCUGCCAAUCUCCGGAACAAGCUCAACUCAGUCUACCUAUAUUAUGAAAAGGAGGGGGUUUGGUUUUCUUCCUCUCAGUUUCUUCAACUUCCUUUAUUAUCUGUGCCUUUCCUCUUCUAUUUCUUCAACUUCCUUUAUUAUCUGUGCUGAUGAAUUUGUUGAAGUCUCUACGGGCUGCCAUCUCAAGUACAAGCACGAUGCUUUCUGGCAGAACUGCACUUCUUGUGUACACACCGUCCCAUGCAUCAUUUCUGCCUCGGUAGUACACAAAUAUGUAAUCAUCUAGUUUAUUUUCUAUCUUCGAUUGACAGAAUAUAUCUGGAGACAUAAUUAUAAUAGCCAUUAAUCUAUCUAGUUUCUGAUGCUUAAUGAUGACUCAGCAUUAUAUUUUUGCAGGAAGUACUUGAAAUGGUUUGACUUGAAUCCACAAUGAAAUUGACCAAAAAAAAUAAAGGAGAAUGGGGAGAAGGAGACCAGUCAUCUUAAUAGUGAAGGAACUCAUUGUCAUGAUUGUAGAGCAUUGCAGGACACACUGGAUCUUGCACAAACCUAUGUACAGUUGAUCGGGUGAAAAGGCUGCUAGUGACGAACCACUUCCCAACGAAAUCUGCAACAUUAAAGUUCUUGACAAGAAAGGCAGGAUUAGGGACGGAAUCCCCGAACAUCAGACUUCUGAGGUACACACUUAUUUCAUGAGACUGCACACUCAUUGAAUUCAUCAACAAGAAAAUGACAAGCAAAGAAGAAAAAAGAAAAGGAAUCAAAGAAGAAGCAUUUACUAAAAUCAUCAAGAAAUAUUUACAUACAUUGAAAGAAGAAUACAAGCAUCAUCUAAGUUAGCAGCUGAAAACUGUGAGCUGUAUCAACAAUGACAUUGGGUUCUUAAGGGUACAAAACUUAAACACGGUGAGAAAUGGGGAGGGGGGGGCUAACCUUGAGCAAGAGGUGGAGCUUUUCAUGGCAGCAAGGGAAAAAAUGGAUGCAGAGUGCCAAAAAUAGGUGAAAAAAAAGCGCGCGGAGGUCUGGGAAGGCAGCGAAGGUGGAAAAGACAGACAUCAUCAUGUGGACUCAAACCAUGUAACGUAUUCAUUUUCUUCCUCGUCUCUGUUUUUUAGUUAGUUACUAGUGAUUUUCUUUUAGGAUGUCACAUUCCAGUUUGAAAUAUAUUUUUAUUUAGUUUUUUAUUACUAUUAAAAAAAUAUUUAUGAGAUAUACAAUUGUUAAAAUUCUAGACAGAAAAAAUACAUAUUCUAAAAAUAUAUAUAUUUUGUUAAACUAAUUAUUCUUUUCUUAUUCAUAUAUUUUUUUAUUUGAUUAAACAUAUUAUUUAUUAGGAGUUCAUUUUUGAAUACCUAUUGUCUAGCUUUAGCUACUCUUGAAUUGGAGGGCCUUAUGGAGGAUUUAAUGACCUGUUAUUCCUUAUGGCUUUCUUGCUUUACUUUUGGAGGAUAUGCUUUAAUCCCUUAUUUUGGGGUCAGAUUAAGUGGGGAGGGGGUUUGGUUUUCUCUCGUCAUUGCUUUUCUCUUUGAGUAAUGGUAGGAUUUAAUGUUGUGAUGUAGAUUUAGAAAAAUUGCUUUAUUCUUUAUGCUCGUUCUUUGCUCCAAUCCUGGAAGUUUACAUUCUGUACAGACAAUUUUAGAAGAGGUGUCUUUAGGGAAAGAAAAGUAUGAACUUGAAAAGCAACAGGAUUUCCUUUAGGCAAGAUAACCUGCAUGUUGUUCUGGUUUUUCAGAGAAACAUGAUCUAUCAUCCUUCUUUACCUUUGUAUGGAUGUAUAGGUACGUUAUGGAGCAACAUCAUGCUCCAAUGUAGGAAAUUCAGGAGGCAAUUGGGUCUUGGUUAGAAACUAUAGAAACAAAUUGAAAAAAGAAAUGCAGCUUUCCUUUUCUGGAGACUCGAAAAGAUUUAGCUGUGCAUUUCUGAAAUAAAAAAAGGCAUGAAUAAGAAGACUCCAUAUUUUCUUUUAAGUUGAACUCUAUCUAAACUUCGCUUCCAUUUUCAGAUCACUCAACAUAUCAUAUCCAUUUCUUCUUUACUUGGUUUUCUUAAGAAAACCUCGUCGUCUUUUUGGAGUUAAUAAAUCCUUCUGCCAAACUCUCGGGAACAAGCUCAACUCAGUCUACCUAUAUUAUCAAAAAGAGUGGGUUUGGUUUUCUUCAACUUCCUUUAUUAUCUGUGCUGAUGAAUUUGUUGAAGUCUCUACGGGCUGCCAUCUCAAGUUCAAGCACGAUGCUUUCUGGCAGAACUGCACUUCUUGUGUACACAACGUCCCAUUAAGUGGGGAGGGGGUUUGGUUUUCUCUCGUCAUUGCUUUUCUCUUUUGAGUAAUGGUGGGAUUUAAUGUUGUGAUGUAAAUUUGGAAUAAUUGCUUUAUUCUUUAUGCUCGUUCUUUGCUUCAAUACUGGAGGUUUACAUUCUGUGCAGACAGUUGUUUUAGAACAGGUGUCUGCAAUGACUUUUAGGGAAUAAAUAUUAUGACUUGAAAAGCAGCAGAUUGCCUUUAGGCAAGAUAACCUGUAUGUUCUGGUUUUUCAGAGAAACAUGAUCCAUCAUCCUUCUUUACCUUUGUAUGGGUGCGUUUUUGGAGCAACUUCAUUAUCCAAUGCAAGGUACGUUAUGGAGCAACAUCAUGAUCCGAUGUAGGGAAUUCAGGAGGCAAUUGGGACUUGGUUAGAAACCAUAGAAACAAAUUGAAAAAAGAAAUGCAGCAGAAAUAAAAAAGAAAAAAAAAAUCCAGAUUUCCUUUUCUGGAGACUCAAAAAGAUUUAGCUGUGCAUGAAUAAGAAGACUCAAUAUUUUUUCAACUUCUUUUAUUAUCUGUGCUGAUGAAUUUGUUGAAGUCUUCCUAUGCUUUUGGCUGCCAUCUCAAGUUCAAGCCCACUGCUUUCUAGCAGAAACUUGAUAGUGAAGGAAAUUACCAGUCAUCUUGAUUGUGAGGGGAACUCAUUGUCAUGAUUGUAGAGCAUUGCAGGAUAGACUGGAUCUUGCAAAAACCUCUGUACAGUUGAUCGGGUGAAAAAGCCAGUAUCUAGGGUUCGUAUCCUCCAGGACAAGUUCCCGACAAGCUUGUUGGAUUCUGUAUGAAAGUUAUGCAAUUGGCAGUCAAAAGUAGGAUUUAGGCCACUAGUGAUGAACCAACUUCCCAACGAAAUCUGCAACAUUAAAGUUCUUGACAAGAAUGGCAGGAUCAGGGACGAAAUUCCAACAUCAGACUUCUGAGGUACAAGUAAUAAUAAGGUCACAAGUUGUCAUGAUUAGGAGAGGAUUUCUUUCCUCAACUAAGCUUGCCUUCCUGCACACAACAAUCUUCUUCUUUCAUGUCUUGUCAUCAGAUGGCUUCCCUUCACCAAAUGGCACAUCAGGUUUUCCUUGAUCUCCUCCAUCCUUUUCUUUUUCUUUUCUAGUAUUCAUAUGCUUUGAAUAAUUAAAUAACAAAAAAUGGAAGAAGUUUCUAUGUAUGUGCCCUUGGCUCUAACAACGAACUUUAAUUGCAGGUAACUGCGUCUUGGACUUCAAGGAAUUCCCUUACGAACCAACCGGCGAGUGCAUAGGCCACCAGGAGAAAAUCAAGGACUGGACAGCUUCAGCACAACAUUAUGCUGUCGUAAUCUGCUCAACGAUCUGACCAAACUCUUAGCGUCGCGUGCAGUAUCGAACCCAAAUGUUGACAUCUUGAUUCCAAAAGAUCAAUGGAUGGAAUGUAUCCAUGGCUUUCCUGGAGAAAACUCUGUAUCACCGGCUUCUUGUGGGUUUUUGAUGACCUCUACAAUGAGAGAAGUGCUUGCUAGAGAUUUUCUUUGUCAUCGAUAACGGAACAGUGGUAUUACAAAAAAGCAUUAGCCUCGUGUACGAAUUUUAGCUCUUCAUACGAUUAGAGGCAAUAUCCGAUUUCAGGGAUUAUCAGUUACGAAUAUCAAAUGUCAGCGCUAAUGACAAGAAGACAAAAAUAUUAUGUGGGAUGGCAGUUCUUAUUUCUGUUGUGGCUGAAAAUUUGAAGAAUAGCGAUUGAUGAUUUCUACAGGUGUUUGCCAGCUUCAGAUGCAUUCAGUAAGGGCCAUUGCUGCUUCUUUUAUAUCUUAUUUCUCGAUUUACUUCCCAUUUCACUUCCUUAUGCUUAGAGUAUUGUCUAUGAACAGAUAAAGGAUACAAGCAAAUCAAAUGUAAGUACAACUAUUCUGUUUUCUCAUUGAAUCAUUUCUUGGAAUUUUAUUUGGUCGCGUGGAUCAUCGUGUGAAGGAUAAACACUCAUAAAGAUCUUUAGCUUAUCAGAUUCUCUGGUGAAAGUGAUAUUUUCUUUUUUUAUAGCAAUCAUCACAUUGUUGCUGGUCUUUCUUCUGAUAAAAUACGUGAGCAAGGGCAAGAAGAAGCGCCCUAAACCUGUAACUCCAUCUAAAGAGAGGAGUUCUUGAAACGUGCAAUCCAGGAGCAUGGGAAAGGGAAGGUGUUGGAGACUGUGGUGGAGAUACAGGACAGGCAUGAUGCUGCCAAAGAGAUUGAGUUGGAGCUGCACCAGGUGUUUUUGGACAUGGCAGUGAUGGUGGAGGCACCAGAUGGAUGAUAUUGAGCACCAUGUGUUGAAAGCUAGUCACUAUGUGAAGGAUGGUACCAAAGUGCUCAAGGGUGCUAAAGAUCACCAGAAGAGCAGCAGGAAAUGGAUGUGUUUCGGUAUCAUUCUCCUUUUGAUAAUCAUUCUUGUGAUUGUUAUACCUAUUGUUACUAGCUUUAGCUACUCUUGAAUUGAAGGGUCUUAUGGAGGAUUUAAUGACCUGUUAUUCCUUAUGGCUUUCUUGCUUUACUUUUGGAGGAUAUGCUUGAAUCCCUUAUUUUGGGGCCAGAUUAGGUGUUGGAGACUGUGGUGGAGAUACAGGACAGGCAUGAUGCUGCCAAAGAGAUUGAGAAGAGCUUGUUGGAGCUGCACCAGGUGUUUUUGGACAUGGCAGUGAUGGUGGAGGCACAAGGCGAGCAGAUGGAUGAUAUUGAGCACCAUGUGUUGAAAGCUAGUCACUAUGUGAAGGAUGGUACCAAAGAGCUCAAGAGUGCUUAAAGAUCACCAGAAGAGCAGCAGGAAAUGGAUGUGUAUCGGUAUCAUUCUCCUUUUGAUAAUCAUUCUUGUGAUUGUUAUACCUAUUGUUACUAGCUUUAGCUACUCUUGAAUUGGAGGGCCUUAUGGAGGAUUUAAUGACCUGUUAUUCCUUAUGGCUUUCUUGCUUUACUUUUGGAGGAUAUGCUUGAAUCCCUUAUUUUGGGGCCAGAUUAAGUGGGGGGAGGGGAGGGGGUUUGGUUUUCUCUCGUCAUUGCUUUUCUCUUUGAGUAAUGGUAGGAUUUAAUGUUGUGAUGUAAAUUUAGAAAAGUUGCUUUAUUCUUUAUGCUUUGCUUCAAUACUGGAUGUUUACAUUCUGUACAGACUGCAAUGACUUUUAGGGAAAGAAAAAUAAGAACUUGAAAAGCAGCAGGAUUAUUGCCUUUAGGCAAGAUAACCUGUAUGUUGUUCUGUUUUUUCAGAGAAACAUGAUCCAUCAUCCUUCUUCUCCUUUGUAUGGGUGCGUUUUUGCAGCAACUUCAUGAUCCAAUGUAAGGUACGUUAUGGAGCAACAUCAUGAUCCAAUGUAGGGAAUUCAGGAGGCAAUUGGGUCUUCGUUAGAAACUAUAGAAACAAAUUGAAAUAAGAAAUGUAGCAG